GGAGUGAACGCUGGCGGCAUGCUUUACACAUGCAAGUCGAACGGUAACAGGCCGCAAGGUGCUGACGAGUGGCGAACGGGUGAGUAAUGUAUCGGAACGUGCCCAGUCGUGGGGAAUAACGCAGCGAAAGCUGCGCUAAUACCGCAUACGAUCUAUGGAUGAAAGCGGGGGACCGUAAGGCCUCGCGCGAUUGGAGCGGCCGAUAUCAGAUUAGGUAGUUGGUGGGGUAAAGGCUCACCAAGCCAAACGGUCUGUAGCUGGUCGUGAGAGGACGACCGACG
rnacentral:rRNA from 1 species